UACGUAGGGGGCAAGCGUUGUCCGGAAUCAUUGGGCGUAAAGCGCGUGUAGGCGGCUGACUAAGUCCGCUCUGAAAGCCCGGGGCUCAACCCCGGGAGGCGGGUGGAUACUGGUCAGCUCGAGUCCGGAAGAGGAGUGUGGAAUUCCUGGUGUAGCGGCGAAAUGCGCAGAUAUCGGGAAGAACACCCGUGGCGAAGGCGGCUCUCUGGGACGGUACUGACGCUGAGACGCGAAAGCGUGGGGAGCGAACAGG
rnacentral:rRNA from 1 species